UACGAAGGGAGCUAGCGUUGUUCGGAAUCACUGGGCGUAAAGCGCACGUAGGCGGCUUGGAAAGUCGGAUGUGAAAAUCCGGGGCUCAACCCCGGACCUGCAUCCGAUACUUCCAGGCUAGAGGUAGGUAGGGGAGAUCGGAAUUCCUGGUGUAGCGGUGAAAUGCGCAGAUAUCAGGAGGAACACCGGUGGCGAAGGCGGAUCUCUGGGCCUUACCUGACGCUGAGGCGCGAAAGCUAGGGGAGCGAACAGG
rnacentral:rRNA from 1 species